rnacentral:misc_RNA from 1 species
GAUGAAGAACGCAGCUAAAUGCGAUAAGUAGUGUGAAUUGCAGAAUUCAGUGAAUCAUCGAAUCUUUGAACGCACAUUGCGCCCUUUGGUAUUCCUUAGGGCAUGCCUGUUCGAGCGUCAAUUAAACCCUUCAAGCUCAGCUUGGUGUUGGGUGACUGUCCGCCGCCCCCGGGCGCGGACUCGCCCCAAAUUCAUUGGCGGCCGGUACGUAGGCUUCGAGCGCAGCAGAAACGCGAACUCGGGCCCGCGGUGUCGGCUCCCAGAAGCCAUCUCUUUUAUUUUGACCUCGGAUCAGGUAGGGAUACCCGCUGAACUUAAGCAUAUCAAUAAGCGGAGGA